GACCCCUUCAACUCUUGGUGGUGCACAGAUGGGCCUUCUCUUGGCUGGAGUCCUGUCCCCACCUCCUCUUCCAUAAUGUAAGAAUGCAGGCUGGCCUCACUGAAUAUGUCUGGGCACAGAAGAAGCUCUGCAGGGACAACUUUGAAAGGGCAGCCCUAAAGGUUUUCAUUUGCAGGUGACAGAAAAACUCAGCAUAGAGAAUUGUGGAGGGAAAGCAGUGAUGGACCUGAUCCCCCAUGUCUCCAUGGAGACCUAGAUCCUCUUGGUAAUCAGCCUGUGCUCCUCUGUCUGUGAGUAGCUACUCAGGCUCUUCUCGUCUGUAACCCUGGAACUGGGUGGUAAUCAGACCCUUCUUUCCCUUAUCUCUUUGGAAGAUCAAAAGAGAUAAUGGAGGAGAAGUUGCUAGAAACACACAAGCUCCUAUUGAUCUUCAGCAGAUCCUUGAGCUCCUACCUGCUCCCCGACUUCCUAUUCCUGUGGCUAGGGAGGUUAUUGACAAAACUGGUUGCUAGGGAUGAUCUAAUUGAAUUUUAGACCCAGACCAAUGACCCAGAUACAAUAGAGGCAGAUUACAAAUAACUCAUUGCCAUGUGCAGUGGGAACCUCAUCCCUUUUUCCAUUCCCUUUGGGAAUUCUGGGUUGUUUGUGUUUUUGUCUCAUUAUCUUUACCUUCUCCAUUAUGUCUGCUGGAGAAGAUGUGUGGCUCUCUUGUGUAUGUGGAGGUUUACCGUUCCCCUCUCUCCUCCAGCAUCAUUUAUGAAAAGCUCCACAGUGAAUUCCAUACCUGGUGGGAGGGUCACACUUCACCUUCCUUCUUUUAUAUGAUCUCCCCUGGAACCCCCACUCCCUCCUAGAACUCAAUUUCUAUACCGCGCAAUAUGCAGGACUAUUUAUCUCUAAAUGUUGAACUUUUAGAGCAGAGACAGCUGUCAGAAAUAUCGGGGAGGGUUACCAGAGCCCAGCUGGGCCUUGCAGAGGUACGCCUGUGGAUCCUUCAAACACAUGACUUUUCCUGAAAUGAUCUGGUUUGGUUUUAUGAUAUUUUACUAGAGUUACUGGAUUUUUACAGACACCUAUACUGCUUUAAAGGCUCACCUCUGGAAAAGAAGAAACAGGUAUUAAUUCAACCAUCUGGAACACCUCACAGUUUUUGGUUUGAUAUUGCCAGUGUGUCUCUUGCUAUCAAUAGGAAGGAACAUCAACUUUCAGAGGGCACCUCUCUUGUGGCUGAAAGAUCUCUUGGGGCUCCUUUUCAUACUUUCCCCAUUUGCCACUAUGGGACCAACCUUGGCAUUGCUGGCAGCCUCUUCCCUCUGUCUCUCUUCUUUCCCCAGUCUGCUCUAUGUCAGUCACGGUGGAGUGGAGAGGCUUUAAGGAUCCAGGACCCACAGCUGUGGGGCUCAGAACAGGAUGAUGAGUUGCAGGCAGGCCUGGCCUAGGGAGCACCAGCCCUAAUGGGUUUUCAUACAGAGGUAGUUGAUGGAUGGAGGCAGCGAAUGAAUGGCUUUGUGACUGACCCUCUUGAUAAGUGUGAGCACGGUUGCCACUGUGCUUACAAGCAAGCAUUGGUCACCCAUUCUUGUGUGCAGUGUCACUCAGGGGAAAUAUGGGAAAUUAGCCUUCCCUGUAUAUCAAAUAAUACAGAGUUUCUGACAACAGUGAGUUGGGUAUCUCUGAAGGUGUUCAGAUUUCUCUGAUGUCAUAGGAAGCCAUGGACCCAGUUGUCAUUUUAUACAAAUAAGAGCACUGUGAGCACUCCUGGAUUUUACUGGGAAGACAGAUCUGACAAAGGCCAGAUACUAAAAUAGGAAUAUGGUUCAGAGGAAAAGAAAAUUAUAAAAGCCUCAGAACAAACUAUAAGAGCGAUGUUACCACAGGUGCUUCAUGACAUCGUGAUGUUGAGAAGAUGCACUUAAGCAAAAUCUUAUCAUUGGAGCAGAAGAAAAAAAAAACUUCCCAGUUCUAUCUCAAUCAUUAGUCCAUGAAUGAAAAUCAUCACUUCAUGGAAUAAUCAAUUUCCUAAAUUGACACAAACAAAUGCAAUACCCUGGCAGAAUUCCAGUCUGAAGCUCUCAGGAACACUCUAGUUUGGAGACGCUUAGCAUGGAUUCACUUUAGGAUGGGAGAAUAAAGAGUUCAGGUGCUUUUAGUUAAUCAUGAGUUUCAGGAGGUGGAGUAGGUGAGUGCAUGUGAUUAUUGCUUUGGGGUUUUUUCUGUCAUUUAUCGCUUAUGUGUCACUCCCUGGCUUGACUGUUCUGGUUCCUGAGUCUGUGACAAGCGAGCCCCACGUACAGUCACAGUCUCUGUGGCUGGCUUUCUCUUUCACUGUUUAGGUAUGGGGCCUCCUCACAAGGACAUUUUAAGGAGCUGGGCACUCUGGGACCAAAACCUCUGCCACUUUUGGGAACUACCCUGGAUUAUCAUAUGGUGAGUCUUGCUCAACUCCCUGUUUUGCUUCUCAUGGUUGCAAAGAUCCACUUAGUUCUAUCAGUCAAAGUGCUGCUCCUCAGGAGGAAGUACUGAGAUUUUUAGGACUUCACACCAUCCCUAUGAUGUACAUAAGUCUGGUGGACCAAACCGUCCACUGGUGUCUUCAGAUUCCUAACUCUACUUGAGAGAGAGAGCUCAUGAGGUAAGAUAAGAGCAUGCCUAAGGAGGGAGACUUGUGCAUGUCCCUGGAAAUCUCAUUCACUGUCCCUCAGCUUUGAUUUCCCACAGAGGGGAUAAUGCAGAGGUUUGCAGAUGUUAGAGGCAACAGACUCACAAGCCAGAACACCUUAGAUAGACAAGCAGUUGCUUCAUGUUCACAGAUGAGGACAAUCCCUGCCAUGUCUACAAAGUCACAAGAAACCUCAAGAAGGACUGAUUUACCCACUUCCAGUAUCUCCUGUAUUUUCUCUCCUGUCCACUCAGAUGUCCCUGAUUAUGAGCUGCCCUUUAACUUGCAAUGAGGGGUAGUCAGCCUGCUCUCAUGAUAUUCCAAUCAUUUGUGCCCCGUUGGUGCUAUGGUUAGUACAUUGGAAUAACAGAGUUUUGUUUUCUGUUCCCGGGGCAUGUGGAAAUUUGGUGAAGAGUGUUAUAAGAAAUAUGGGAACAUGUGAAGGUGAGUAUUCUGGAAACUUCCCUUGGGUAGAUUUGUUAGGAUGUGGCACCUCGGUAUGUGAGGAAAAUCUUAACCCAGAGUUCUUGGGAUGCAGCUCUCUGUUGAAAAGCCUUUGGUGUCUGGUCCUGCCAAGGUCCCAUAUGUUACCAGAUGUCAAGGUCCAGACCCUGAAUUAAGUUGAGAAUGUUGCAGGUAAUGAUUUUUUUUUUUUUUUUUUUUAGGCUUUGAUGGCCCAAGGACUCCCAGGCUCACCUUCUGUCUAGUGCCUGGCAUUUCCUUUUCUAUCUCAUUCUACUGACUUGGAAGAAGUGAUGUUGUCUAUUUUUUAAGCAGAUCCCUUUGGGCUCAUGUAAAUAAUGACUUUGAAGGGUGGCCCAACUUCCCUGGCAGAGCUGCUGGAAGGUUUCUGGGAGCAGUAGAAGAGGUGCAAUCUUUGUACUUAUUAGAAGCAAUUCAGUGAAGUCUUUCCCUUUUUAAUCCCUCCUUUUCUCCUCCCAUGAAUCCUCAGAAACUGCAGGGCUGGCCGCAUGCUCUGCUGAGGUAGCAUGGCCUAUUAAAGGCCAGGGCACAGAGCGAUGAAUCUCCUAUGGCUCAUCUACCACUGCCCCUUGCGACAUUAUUACUUGAGACCAGUUGAUAGUUUGUCUUCAACUUUUUAACUCCCCCCCAAUAUGUCUUAAAAACAAUUAUUCAAGUAUUAUUUUAAACAGCCACCAUUGCCACUAUGACACCAGUAAUAGGUUCUACAGGAUGAAGUUUAUAGGGAUUUUACGUCUUGACACCUAUUUCCUAUAAGUAGAUAAUGCAUUAAAAGGGAAAAUGACUGUGAAAGAUCAGGAACAUUAAAGGAAAAACCUGUCAAACUGAUAGAGGAAUUCAUGUGACAAGAAUAUACAUGUGCAAAGACAAAAUAAUUAGGUUAUUUAGAGUAAAGAGUUUAUAUCAUACAAAGCAUGUGACUUACCAGGUUCUUCUGUCAAUGCAAAUGAGGGAUUUAAUCAUUCCAAAAUCAUGCUGUUAAUGCUAAGAUGAAGCAGAUUUAAAUUAUUGGUAGCACAGGCACAUUGGCUCACAAAACUGUCAAAGGAGAUUUUGUAAAAUAAAUAAUGCUCAAUUUUGUAACAGGCACUAAAAUAUUUGUGUAACCAAUAUCACAUUUUAUCAGCAUAAUUAAUAUUUUUCUCCUUCCAUAUUUGAAGUGUUUAUUUUGAAAAUUAACAUUUUUCAUUAUUGCAUUAAAUAUUGCUGACAACAUCAUUAGAAUUCUCUCCACAACUUGUGUGAAUUCUACAAGGAAAGAUAGUUUUCAUUUACUUAAUCAACAUUUUUUUUUUUUUGCCUAAAAGCUACUAUGUGCUAUUCCAAAUAUUGCUGAUAUAGCAGUGAAUAUCCCUGCUAUAGAUAAUAAGAGAGAACAUAGACAAUAAAAAAUAGUUCAAUUAAUUUAAAGUAUCAUAUUAGAAAGUCCUAAGUCCUAUGAAGACCAUAGGUCAGAGUAAGGAACUUAAGAGUGGUAGAUAAGGUAGUUAGGGACAUCCUCUUUGAGCCAUUAAGGAUUAGCAAACACCUGAAUGAAGUCAAGGACAAGUUCCUGGAUAAGGGUUUCUAGGAUGCUGUUUUCCAGUCAGUGGAGCAGUCAAUGGUAACGCCUUGAGACACACAUAUGGUAUGUGAAGAACUGAAAGGCUAGUGUCCCUGGAACAGAAUGAACAAGACAAAGUAAAGGAACAUAUUCAGGGUGAUGACCAGGGAGCAGCUAAUGGAAGAUCUUACUCACUAUUCUUGGUGAUAGGAAUCCUUGGGACAUUUGGGAAGAAGAAAAGACAUGAUAUCAUUUAAAGUUAGUGAGGGGCUGGGGAUGUGGCUCAAGAGGUAGCGCACUAGCCUGGCAUGCAUGCAGCCUGGGUUCGAUCCUCAGCACCACAUACAAACAAAGAUGUUGUGUUCGCCGAAAACUAAAAAAAUAAAUGUUAAAAAAUUCUCUCUCUCUCUCUAAAAAAAAUAAAGUUAGUGAAAGGAUAAUUAUGAUUGUAAUGCCUUCCACUAAUGUCAUGUAUGUAAGAAAUAAAAAAAUAAAAAUAAACCCAAUUUAUCUAAAAAUAAAUAAAUUACUUAGACUGUUGUGGACAGUGAUUUGGCUUCAUUAAAUAUAAUAGCAUGAAAAAUAUAGAAAAGUGACCCUAUUAAGGAUACGGUUUA
rnacentral:lncRNA from 1 species